rnacentral:tRNA from 1 species
UUUAAUAUGGCAGAUUAAGUGCAAUGAAUUUAAGAUUCAUAAAUAAAAUUACUUUUUAUUAAAA